CAUAUGAGCCCAACCACUGCUGUCCUGUCUGCUACACUGGGCCCAAUUGUUUUGUGGGCGACAGAGUGAUCUCGGCAGGGGAGCGGGUAGAGAUAGACAAGCAAACUGUGUGUUACUGCACCUACCGGGACGGCACCUGGCAGAUGCACCCCCAUGCCACCUGCGAGCAGCGCCCGCUGCCGGACCCCGAUCUCAACCCCAGCCCCUCUGAGCCCCCCGAGGAAGACGAGACCAAGCAGAUGGACAGGGACUUCCGCCCCAGGCUGGACUGGAUCCCAUGAGCAGGCAGGAGGGUGGGUGUGAGAGGGUAAUAGUGCGCCAAGGGGAAACGGGGAGAUGAUGGGGCAGGUUGAUUUCCGUGCCCUGCUGAGUGCAGUCUGCAUAGGGCUUAGGGCCAGGGAUGACCUACUACACCACAUUAUACAACCACGAUAACAUUACUAGCUAGUAGUGUUUGUGCAACAUUAUGUAAAACUUUGCACACAGGGACAAUAUAUGGUGCACAUUCAAGACAAUACACAACUAUAACAUAUAGUUUGUUGAAAUUAAUUUGUCUUAAUUUUCCUUCACUUGCAGUAGUCUGGUUUUGUCGUCAAAGGGCUGGUGUAAGUGGACACUUAAUAGAUGGUUGCAACAUUCACCCUUUUAUUAAUCUCAGGUUUACACUAGUGCACAUUAACAUUGCUCUGUAUAUUUCUCUUUGACUACUGUUGUUUCUUUAAUAACUUAAAGAUAUCCAUCUUAGAAUUGUUCUAAUGCUGAAAUGGAAAUGUUCCUUUUUCUGUAUGUAAAUUGACUUGUGGUUCUAUGAAGUGUAGCUUUAAUGGGCAUAUUUUUCAAAUAAACGUCAGGAACCGUA